rnacentral:rRNA from 1 species
AGUCGAACGAAGUCUUCGGACUUAGUGGCGCACGGGUGCGUAACGCGUGGGAAUCUGCCCUUGGGUACGGAAUAACUCAGAGAAAUUUGUGCUAAUACCGUAUAAUGUCUUCGGACCAAAGAUUUAUCGCCCAAGGAUGAGCCCGCGUAGGAUUAGCUAGUUGGUGAGGUAAAAGCUCACCAAGGCGACGAUCCUUAGCUGGUCUGAGAGGAUGAUCAGCCACACUGGGACUGAGACACGGCCCAGACUCCUACGGGAGGCAGCAGUGGGGAAUAUUGGACAAUGGGCGAAAGCCUGAUCCAGCAAUGCCGCGUGAGUGAUGAAGGCCUUAGGGUUGUAAAGCUCUUUUACCCGGGAUGAUAAUGACAGUACCGGGAGAAUAAGCUCCGGCUAACUCCGUGCCAGCAGCCGCGGUAAUACGGAGGGAGCUAGCGUUGUUCGGAAUUACUGGGCGUAAAGCGCGCGUAGGCGGUUUUUUAAGUCAGAGGUGAAAGCCCAGUGCUCAACACUGGAACUGCCUUUGAAACUGGAAAACUUGAAUCUUGGAGAGGUCAGUGGAAUUCCGAGUGUAGAGGUGAAAUUCGUAGAUAUUCGGAAGAACACCAGUGGCGAAGGCGACCGACUGGACAAGUAUUGACGCU